UAAUACGGAGGGUCCGAGCGUUAUCCGGAAUUAUUGGGUUUAAAGGGUCCGCAGGCGGGCAAUUAAGUCAGGGGUGAAAUGGUACGGCUCAACCGUAGCACUGCCCUUGAUACUGGUUGUCUUGAGUCAUAGUGAAGUGGCCGGAAUAUGUAGUGUAGCGGUGAAAUGCAUAGAUAUUACAUAGAACACCGAUUGCGAAGGCAGGUCACUAACUAUCGACUGACGCUGAUGGACGAAAGCGUGGGGAGCGAACGGGAUUAGAUACCCCGGUAGUCCACGCCGUAAACGAUGGAUACUAGCUGUCCGCUGCCUUGAGCAGUGGGCGGCCCAGCGAAAGUGAUAAGUAUCCCACCUGGGGAGUACGUUCGCAAGAAUG
rnacentral:rRNA from 1 species